GAGACUCUGUGCGCGUGCAUAUCAAUAAGCGGAGGAAAAGAAACUAACUAGGAUUCCCCUAGUAACGGCGAGUGAAGCGGGAAGAGCUCAAAUUUGAAAUCUUAAAGGGUUUCCCUUUACGAAUUGUAGUUUAAAGAAGUGUUUUCUGUUGGAGUUUCAGUAAAAGUUCUUUGGAAUAGGACAUCAUAGAGGGUGAGAAUCCCGUAUUUGACCGUUACUUUCCAGCUGUGUGAUACACUUUCAAAGAGUCGGAUUGUUUGGGAAUGCAGUCCAAAAUGGGUGGUAAAUUUCAUCUAAAGCUAAAUAUUGGCGAGAGACCGAUAGCGAACAAGUACCGUGAGGGAAAGAUGAAAAGAACUUUGAAAAGAGAGUUAAACAGUACGUGAAAUUGUCAAAAGGGAAGCGUUUGACACCAGUGUUGUUUAGUUGAAAAUCAAUUCAAUAGUUUUUGAUUUUAAGUAGUAUUGACUUCAUCAGUUUGCUGCUUUCUUUUCAGGAAUUAUUGAAUGCACUUUUCAGUUAACAAGUCAACAUCAAUUUCUUUUGUUGUAAAAGGGUAAGAGGAAGGUGGCUUACGCUUCGGCGUAAGUGUUUAUAGCCUUUUACCUCUGCAAUCGGAGAGAUUGAGGACAGCAGCGUAGACUCUUCGGGGUUAGAUACACUUGUGCUAAGCUAUAGCCUUGUAUAGACAACUUGUUGACUAUGCUCAGUCAUGUAGCUUACUCGCUUGUGCUAUUUUACCUACGCUUAGGAUGUUGACAGCAGUAUAGACUGU
rnacentral:rRNA from 1 species